AUGGGUCUCUUGGCAUCAGGCUCUAUUUUUACAGCUUGUACAUUAAUGCUACCAAAGUUUAAACAAUUGCAAGGGACCAAAAGCUCCGAAGGAAAAACGCGUGCCGGGUUUUGCUCGGCGAGCACGCUCCGGGCCCGCGCAGAUGGCAUUGCCAAGCGCCCCGGCGCGAGCCGAGGCUGCGGCCCUGAGCGGAGAGGCGCGGGGUCGGACGGGCAUCCAGGCACCGGCUGGCUGGGGGCUUCGGCAGCCCGAAAUUCUGCCCGGUUCCCCUCUCAAAAAAGAUCCAAAAACGUCCACAGCCGAUCAAAAAAUUGUCUAGAUUCCCCUUGGAAAACACUGAAAAAAGGAGCUGCAGGGUCCCUCAGAAGAGAUGAGAAGAUCCCUGCCGUCUUCCUCGCUCAGCCCUUGCUCUCGGCGCCCAUCUCUGCGGCAGCAUCAGUCCCACGCGGCAGCAUUGGUCCCGGGUGGCAGCGUCGGUCCCGGGCGGCAGCAUCGGUCCCGGGCGGCAGCGUUGGUCCCGCACCUGCCACCAGCCCUUGGAAGCGGCUCCCUUGUGCGCGCAGAGCCCUCGGCCCGGAGGCCCCUUCUCACCCCCUGAAACACUUUCCAGCAGGAAAAAAAAAUCUAAACUAUUCUCUACAUCUAAAUCUGUACUUUUUAAAAUUGAAAAUAUUAAAAAAAAAUGAUAUGGCUAAAAAACUGGCCUGGGUCAGUCCUGUCAUUGCUGGCAACCUGAAAAAAGUCGGAACCAAAGUGCUUUUUUCGUCCCGGAAAGCUUUGGUUUCAGCUGAAAAGCAUCCUGACAAAACGUGCCGGUUUUUCCUAACCCGCAUGGCCUUGGCAGGGCUCCUGCGGGCUGGGGACACCGCAGCCGGAGCAGGCUGGGGGAAGAGCCGCACCGGCCAGGACCCAGCAACCAGCGUUAGAGCAGCCCUGACGCUGCUCUGGCUUGCGGGGCCGGUGCCUCGGGAGGCAGCGGUGCCGAUUUGCCUCCGAGCUCCCUUCGGGCGCCUCUCACCCGCGUCGCCCGCACGCGGCAGGUCUCGUCCGCGUGCCGGAGCCGCGGCCGGCUCCGUACGUGGCGUUCGCCCUGGCGGGGCUGAGUCGGGCUGCCGGCACUGA
rnacentral:lncRNA from 1 species